UGACAUGGUCACAUGACACAGUAUUAUAAAUAAGAAGCCAUUUGGUCAUUUCUUAUUUCCACCUUAGUCGCCUCACGAUUAACACAGCUGAAAGAAUGGCAAGCUCUUCUUCUCCGGCGAAAUCGCCCACAUCCACCAACCCGGAGGUGCAAGCUUUGCGCACCAAAUGCCAAUUGUUGUGUUACUCGUGCCAGGACCCUUGCGUGUCCCGGGAAGACUUAUAAUCACAAAGUUACGUGCUGGCCGAGACCUUCAUAGGCUUCGCUGCCAGACGUGUCAGGGGCAAACAACUAAUGGCGGAACAGGUGGAAAAAAAUCAAGCCACCAUCAGCCAGCUUGAGGAAGCCUUGGCAGAGGCGAAACAGCGAAUUGACGCAGCAGAGGGGCAACAGCGUUUGAACCCAAAUGACACCCGUGACUGUGCCACACAAACAGACGACGAAAAAAACACAGAAAGACAGGAUAAACAUCCAGAAAAAACACGUCCGGAAAAGAGACAAAAAAAAACAAAUAAACAUCCCCCCUUCCACAAACAUGUUAGGUUAAUUGGCGACUCCAAAUUGUCCAUAGGUAUGAAUAUGAGUGUGAACGUUUUUUAUCUGUAUUAUUAAUAAAUUGUUGUUGUUAUGUUGUGCUUUGGAUUGUUGAAUUUUUGUAUGUUACAUAAUUAAACGUGUUUUGUUUUGUUCGUACGCGACUUUGUUUAAAUCUCUUUAGCUUUCAUCUGGUAUUCCACAACAUGUUAGUUAUUUUUACAAAGCCGGUCUUUAUUCAUUUUGACACACGUAAUAAGGUUUAAGUAGACUUUACAAAACACACCAACAAAUACAUUGCUCAAACAUCUCACUUUGCAUAUGAACUUCACCCAUGAAGUAC